rnacentral:rRNA from 1 species
CAGCCGCCGCGGGAAUACGUAGGGCGCAAGCGUUAUCCGGAAUUAUUGGGCGUAAAGAGCUCGUAGGCGGUUUGUCGCGUCUGCCGUGAAAGUCCGGGGCUCAACCCCGGAUCUGCGGUGGGUACGGGCAGACUAGAGUGAUGUAGGGGAGACUGGAAUUCCUGGUGUAGCGGUGAAAUGCGCAGAUAUCAGGAGGAACACCGAUGGCGAAGGCAGGUCUCUGGGCAUUAACUGACGCUGAGGAGCGAAAGCAUGGGGAGCGAACAGGAUUAGAUACCCGCGUAGUCCCUGUCUCUUAUAC